rnacentral:lncRNA from 1 species
AUACCUCUUAUAACUGUCCAUCUCAAAGUUUCCCAUUGUCUAAAAACGAGAAAGGUAGUAGUUCCUGAGGGUUCGAUCGUAUUUAAUGCGCUAGUUCGUUGGGGUUGUUAUUCUUCUGACUUAUUAAGGGCUCAAACAGUGUAUUUUAUGUGCAUUUUCGGAGAUUCAACUUGUUCAAUUUCGAAGGUAUAAACUAACUCCAAUAGAA